ACCAAAAUCAAAACGGUAUCUCUUCUUCUUCUUCUCCCUUCUCUCUUCUCUCUUCUCUCUUCAACGACUAAACCCUAAGACACCUCUUUUGUUUCUCUUUAAUUCUCUUGGUGAUGAUUUAGCUUGAGGUUUCUCUUCAGACCCGAUCCACCUCUGGCACAGUGAUGUUAAAGUAGCAGCAAAAUGCGGAAAAGGUUUUUCCGCUGCUGAAGAUGACAUGUUAGAUGUGUAUCCCUUGCAGUUAAGACUUACUAUUCCACGGGAAACAAAUUCAUUGGGAGUAAAAAUUAGCAAAAAAGACAAUACUGCAGAACUUUUCAGAAGAGCUUGCAAAAUCUUUAGUAUAGAUUCUGAGCAGUUACGGGUUUGGGACUUCUCCGGGCAGACAGCAAUAUAUUUUUUGAGCGAGAGAAGUAGAUUUCUCAAAGACUGUCAACGCCAAUUAGAUCUGGAUGUAAGAUGUAGUUUGCUUUUUUUUUUUUUGGAAUUAGAUGUCGGAUUGAGUCGAUUCAUUUGCUUGAUUUUGUUCAAUCCCCAUCCAAGAUAUCAACCUUAGGUAUGUAACACACAGUUCUUUUACUGUUGUGCUUGACCACGUGCCUUGCUUCGAAAUAGGAAGUUCAUGGCUGUGCUUGCCUAUCACAAACAUUCAAGCUUAUAGA